ACAGAAGGGAGCUUGCUCCCGGAUGUUAGCGGCGGACGGGUGAGUAACACGUGGGUAACCUGCCUGUAAGACUGGGAUAACUCCGGGAAACCGGAGCUAAUACCGGAUAGUUCCUUGAACCGCAUGGUUCAAGGAUGAAAGACGGUUUCGGCUGUCACUUACAGAUGGACCCGCGGCGCAUUAGCUAGUUGGUGGGGUAAUGGCUCACCAAGGCGACGAUGCGUAGCCGACCUGAGAGGGUGAUCGGCCACACUGGGACUGAGACACGGCCCAGACUCCUACGGGAGGCAGCAGUAGGGAAUCUUCCGCAAUGGACGAAAGUCUGACGGAGCAACGCCGCGUGAGUGAUGAAGGUUUUCGGAUCGUAAAGCUCUGUUGUUAGGGAAGAACAAGUGCGAGAGUAACUGCUCGCACCUUGACGGUACCUAACCAGAAAGCCACGGCUAACUACGUGCCAGCAGCCGCGGUAAUACGUAGGUGGCAAGCGUUGUCCGGAAUUAUUGGGCGUAAAGGGCUCGCAGGCGGUUUCUUAAGUCUGAUGUGAAAGCCCCCGGCUCAACCGGGGAGGGUCAUUGGAAACUGGGAAACUUGAGUGCAGAAGAGGAGAGUGGAAUUCCACGUGUAGCGGUGAAAUGCGUAGAGAUGUGGAGGAACACCAGUGGCGAAGGCGACUCUCUGGUCUGUAACUGACGCUGAGGAGCGAAAGCGUGGGGAGCGAACAGGAUUAGAUACCCUGGUAGUCCACGCCGUAAACGAUGAGUGCUAAGUGUUAGGGGGUUUCCGCCCCUUAGUGCUGCAGCUAACGCAUUAAGCACUCCGCCUGGGGAGUACGGUCGCAAGACUGAAACUCAAAGGAAUUGACGGGGGCCCGCACAAGCGGUGGAGCAUGUGGUUUAAUUCGAAGCAACGCGAAGAACCUUACCAGGUCUUGACAUCCUCUGACAACCCUAGAGAUAGGGCUUUCCCUUCGGGGACAGAGUGACAGGUGGUGCAUGGUUGUCGUCAGCUCGUGUCGUGAGAUGUUGGGUUAAGUCCCGCAACGAGCGCAACCCUUGAUCUUAGUUGCCAGCAUUCAGUUGGGCACUCUAAGGUGACUGCCGGUGACAAACCGGAGGAAGGUGGGGAUGACGUCAAAUCAUCAUGCCCCUUAUGACCUGGGCUACACACGUGCUACAAUGGACAGAACAAAGGGCUGC
rnacentral:rRNA from 1 species